GAUGAACGCUGGCGGCGUGCCUAAUACAUGCAAGUCGAGCGAACAGACGAGGAGCUUGCUCCUCUGACGUUAGCGGCGGACGGGUGAGUAACACGUGGAUAACCUACCUAUAAGACUGGGAUAACUUCGGGAAACCGGAGCUAAUACCGGAUAAUAUAUUGAACCGCAUGGUUCAAUAGUGAAAGACGGUUUUGCUGUCACUUAUAGAUGGAUCCGCUCCGCAUUAGCUAGUUGGUAAGGUAACGGCUUACCAAGGCAACGAUGCGUAGCCGACCUGAGAGGGUGAUCGGCCACACUGGAACUGAGACACGGUCCAGACUCCUACGGGAGGCAGCAGUAGGGAAUCUUCCGCAAUGGGCGAAAGCCUGACGGAGCAACGCCGCGUGAGUGAUGAAGGUCUUCGGAUCGUAAAACUCUGUUAUUAGGGAAGAACAAAUGUGUAAGUAACUAUGCACGUCUUGACGGUACCUAAGCAGAAAGCCACGGCUAACUACGU
rnacentral:rRNA from 1 species